rnacentral:lncRNA from 1 species
GUCUGUUGAUAUGGUUAUAUUUAUAAAUUUACUGUUCACAAAAUUUUGAAAUACUAAGGCUUUUUCUACCUCAGGCAUAGAUAACCUUAGCUAAAUUUGGCAAUACUUUUAGGAAUUUUGGUCCUCCAUGCUCUUCAACUUCGUACUUUAUUUGGCCUUUUUAACUUUUUUGGAUUCGAGCGUCACUGAUGAGUCUUGCGUCUGGCGUAUAUACAAAAUUUAGUCCUGGUAUCUAUGAUGAGUUUAUUUCAUACAAAAACGAUGAAAUACCGAGUACUUAUCCAUUUUUCCCUCAAUUUCUUCAAAUUUGUUUCAAACCAUUUUACACUUUCCAUCAGAGUAGCAACUUUUUCUAAACACAAUCUAAGGAAUAUAUGGUUUCGUUUCACUUCGUUUGUAAUUCCUUAAAGAGUUUCAUUACAAACUUUGCCUCUCUUAAGGCGGCCAUUUUGAAUUUUUGAUGAUUCGGUACUUUCACAGGAACAUAUUUGGUUUCAAUUAAUACAGUAAAAGUGCAGUGAUUCUUGAGGCUUUUUUUUAAUAUAUUUAGUCAAUCAGAUUUCAGAAAAGAUAUAGAAGUCAUGGUUGUGGACAACUUGGCACCACAUUAUUAACAAACGGAAAGGGCCUUGAAAGGUUUUCAGCAGGAUUCAAAUGUCAAAAACUAACAGCCUGACGAUCCAUAUCUAAUGCCGGUUUAGGCAUUUUUGAACGAAAUCAUAUAAAGUACCAUUAAAAAGCUUGUUCCUACAUGUUUGUAGGUAAUGAUGCAACCCGACAAUACAGUAUUGUAUAACAAUAUUUUAUUGAGGCAAGCUUUUGAUCAACAAAAUACGAAAAAAUCAAUGUUUCGUCAUACUUACUUUUUUUAAAACUUCAAACCUUUUUAUACUGCAGUUUUAAACGAAAGUCAAUAACUUAACAGAUAUUGCAUUUUCAUUAAUGUGAUAAACAUCACUGGUGGAAAUGUUGGAAGAGAGGUAUUCAUAAAUUCAAAUCAUGUUUGAAUCUUCCAUUGAAGAAUGGUGGCUGACAAUAGAAAAUGAUCUGUUAUUAUACACUGAAGUACUUUUGAAAGAAGAACAAUUUUCAAUAGCUAGAACGAGCUACAGGUGUGACAAUGUCAGUAUGUCACUUAAUCAUAAAACCAUUUUUUUAAC